UACGGGGGGGGCAAGCGUUGUUCGGAAUUACUGGGCGUAAAGGGCUCGUAGGCGGCCAACUAAGUCGGAUGUGAAAUCCCCAAGCUUAACUUGGGAACUGCAUCCGAUACUGGAUGGCUUGAAUCCGGGAGAGGGAUGCAGAAUUCCAGGUGUAGCGGUGAAAUGCGUAGAUAUCUGGAGGAACACCGGUGGCGAAGGCGGCAUCCUGGACCGGUAUUGACGCUGAGGCGCGAAAGCUAGGGGAGCAAACGGG
rnacentral:rRNA from 1 species